rnacentral:rRNA from 1 species
CCUACGGGAGGCUGCAGUGGGGAAUAUUGGACAAUGGGGGCAACCCUGAUCCAGCCAUGCCGCGUGUGUGAAGAAGGCCCUCGGGUUGUAAAGCACUUUCAGUGAGGAAGAACGCCUGGUGGUUAAUACCCAUCAGGAAAGACAUCACUCACAGAAGAAGCACCGGCUAACUCUGUGCCAGCAGCCGCGGUAAUACGGAGGGUGCGAGCGUUAAUCGGAAUUACUGGGCGUAAAGCGCGCGUAGGUGGCUUGAUAAGCCGGUUGUGAAAGCCCCGGGCUCAACCUGGGAACGGCAUCCGGAACUGUCAAGCUAGAGUGCAGGAGAGGAAGGUAGAAUUCCCGGUGUAGCGGUGAAAUGCGUAGAGAUCGGGAGGAAUACCAGUGGCGAAGGCGGCCUUCUGGACUGACACUGACACUGAGGUGCGAAAGCGUGGGUAGCAAACAGGAUUAGAUACCCCAGUAGUC